rnacentral:lncRNA from 1 species
CAGCCUGUCAAUGCUCUUGGAGCUGCCAUCGCCGUCCUUGGAACCUUCUUGUAUUCACAGGUAAUGAUUGAUUUUUGCUUGUGUGUCACCAAAUGGUAGUUUUCAUUUACUUGAUAUCUCUAUCAAGUAGCUGACUUCAGGGUGUGUUUCUGGAUGACUUUUGUGUUGUCCAUAUGUGUAGGUCAAACUUUCUUGUAAUAAAUUGCACUUGGCCCCUUGAGAUUUAUGGAUUUGUUUCGAUACCUUGUAAAAAAGUCAUGUUCUUGAUUGUUAAGUUUAAGAAAUAUCAAUAAUCUUGAGAAGGAUGCAAGUACUUGGCAACUGAGAGCAUGAUUGUUCUGGGAUGCUUCUAGGACUAAGAGUUCAAUAUAACACUCAAGUAAAUAAAUCAAGAGAGAGAGGAGAAAGAAAUUCCAAAACACCAGGGUAAUUACUAUCCUGGUUGAUUUUAAAUAUCAUGGUUGUAUGCUUCUUUGUUUUUCCUCAUUGUGCUCUUUUGCUUUUCUUUUUCCCCUCUUUUACAUGCUUUACUUUAUUUCUUUGUCUGGUAUAUUUCUUACUUUUAGCAUACAUGAAAGUCAUGUUAACUGUGUUUUGUUGCAAGAAUAGUUGACAUAAAUUUUACGUCCAUGCUCCUGAUAUUGGUGUUGCAUUGCCGGGAUGAUGAAAGAAAAGUUUGUAGCUAUGUUCGUGUUUGAAGUAGUAGAAUACCAUCAUUUCACUAAUACUUGUGCAUGUCACCAAACAUAGUUUUGCUUCUUUCAACUAAAACAGUCUAUUCUUCUUUAUUUGAAGUGAUGCUGUUGUUUGCUUUGAACAACUGCCUGUAUUGAGCAACUUUUAACAACAGCUGACUUUUUAUCAGUCUGUUGGCUAUCAGUAAUUAUGAUGAUUUGUGUAGCAAUUAAUAGACUUAGCACCCAUUUUGCUGAUAAACCUUAGAAAUGAUAAAUGGGCAGAGAAAGAACUGCUUCUUAGAAUGAUUGCUUCUACUUCCUGUCACAAGUGUGCUGUUUAGUAUGUUGUACUGUUUUUAGACCCCUGCUGCCUGCUGCAGUAUUCUUUGUUCUAUUCCUUACAGACUUGUUUUCACGUCUGACAGGCAAAGCAAUGAGGAGCAACUUUUGAGUCCAACCAGGCAGCUUAACUUACAGUGGUGGUGAUUUCAAGUUUUGUUCUUCUUAAGGUGUUGAUAUGGCUUUCUUAUUGAGUUCCAUGAAGAAUGAGAACAAUCAGAUGAGCCAGUAGCUUUACAUGUAGAUAACAAUAAUUGUGAACUAAGAUAAUUUAAAAUCUUAUACAGGUUAAUUAGGCAGGUAAUCCCUGUUAUCUUGCAUGUUGGGGGAGAAUCAAGAACAGCACGAAUAAAUAGUGGCAACAACUGUGCCCAUUUAAGGGACGAAAAUGUUGAUGAUUUGGAUCAUAUGCAGUCCAUUUCAGCCAUUAAAACCGGACCUAGUUUGUAUUCAUAGUACUAGUAUUGACAAUGGUUGUCUAUAGCUCUUUGGAAUUUAUGAUUCAGAGGGAACUAUGCUUUGAUUGCCUGUCAACUUAAUUAGUCAAAAUCACCAAAAUUUUGGAUGUGCUGCUUCUUUUGGCUCUCAUUUGGUGUUGGGCAUGACUCAAAAAGAUAGGUGCAAAAAUAUUGGUGGCAUGUUUUUGUCUGCUCGAUGUGCCAUGGUCAUUGUUUCCUUCAAAAGCAUCAAGUUAUUUUCAUUUGGAAAAAAAAUUUGCCCUCUGCUUCCAGGUACUCAAGGCAAAUUGCUCCUUGUAUGUUUUACAAAGCCCGGUUUUUACAUUGAUUAUCAUCUUCAAUCCAAAAUACAAGUCUUGGAUGGUUGUCAACAAAACUGUGGCAAGAAAAUCUUGUAGUCUCAUAACCUAUGGCUGACUAGGUUGUGCUUGUGCCAUUAAGUUUAAAACAAAGGCUCAAUGAACACAGGACACCACGAGGGCACGGAACCUGGGGUAAAAGUUGGCAUUAGCUGUGAGUGAGGCCGACAAUUGUUACGUCUCAGGUGAGCUUAACUAGGUUUAGUUCAAGGUACAGAUGUCCUUCAACUUCUUUUUACUUGUAGCUAAGGUGGAUUUAUAUGUGUUUAUAAGUACGCUGAGCUGAGAUUUGGAUUAAAAAACAAUCCUUAAUAAUUUGAUCAAGUGUAAUGAAUGGAAGACCAAAGGUUCAAUUAAAAAAUGAUUGUACAAAAGGUUUAAUCCUGAUUAGUUUUCUUGAUGAAGUUUAUACUUAAAAUCUGUACCUUUCCGCUGGCAUGGUGUCUACAGACGGUCAUGCUCUUUUUCCAAUCGGAAGAAACGUUACGAGCUUGAUUCCUUUGUUGAUGAAGGCCACCGAUGGAAUGCAGACAAAAUCAUUUGCAAGAUUCUACAUGGUAUGGACGAAAGCUAACGGAGAUGCCGGGCCAUGGAGGUUCUUUUUCUCGUAAUAAAUCGAUUCGGGGUGGUUCCAAUUCAGCAAUGAGAACUGAAAGGGCCGGAGUUGGUUGGUUGUUUGGCGGUGCCUAUGUUUUUGUGUAGAGUUUCAUUUCAGAUUUUUAGUUAUCCUCUUUCUGUGAACAAGAUUUGUCAGUUUUAU